rnacentral:lncRNA from 1 species
AGCUGAUUCCCAACCAGGCCCUGUUCUAAGUCCUAAAGAUAGAAAGGAACACUGAAAAAAAUCUACUCUAGUGGAACUUGCAUUCAAGUAUGGAAGGCUGGCAAUAAAUAAACAAAUAAACAAGGGUUUUAUGAAGCUCUGUGAGUGAAGAUUCUUCCAGACAGAGGACCAGGACUGCAAAUGCCCUGAGACAGCAGUGUGCUUGGCAUGUUCAUGACUGCACCAUCUUGACCUGAUGGAUGAAUUCGGUGUCCCACAGCCUCAGCU